rnacentral:rRNA from 1 species
AUUGAACGCUGGCGGCAUGCCUAACACAUGCAAGUCGAACGGCAGCACAGUAAAGACUUCGGUCUUUAUGGGCGGCGAGUGGCGGACGGGUGAGUAACGCGUAGGAAUCUGUCCUGGAGAGUGGGAUAACCCGAGGAAACUCGGGCUAAUACCGCAUGAUAUCGAGAGAUCAAAGGCAGGGGACCCUUCGGGGCCUUGCGCUCUAGGUUGAGCCUACGUCGGAUUAGCUAGUUGGUGGGGUAAAGGCCUACCAAGGCGACGACCCGUAACUGGUCUGAGAGGAUGAUCAGGCACACCGGAACUGAGACACGGUCCGGACUCCUACGGGAGGCAGCAGUGGGGAAUAUUGGACAAUGGGGGCAACCCUGAUCCAGCCAUGCCGCGUGUGUGAAGAAGGCCUUCGGGUUGUAAAGCACUUUAGGUCGGGAGGAAGGUUCGCUGGCUAAUAUCCAGCGGAAUUGACGUUACCGACAGAAUAAGCACCGGCUAACUCCGUGCCAGCCGCCGCCGUAA